AGGCAGCAGUGGGGAAUCUUGCACAAUGGAGGAAACUCUGAUGCAGCGACGCCGCGUGAGCGAUGAAGCCCUUCGGGGUGUAAAGCUCUUUCGCAGGGGAAUAACACAAUGAAUGUACCCUGUAAGAAAGGAUCGGCUAACUUCGUGCCAGCAGCCGCGGUAAGACGAGGGAUCCUAGCGUUGUUCGGAAUCAUUGGGCGUAAAGCGGGUGCAGGUGGCUAUGUAAGUCAGGUGUGAAAGCCUGGGGCUCAACCCCAGAAGUGCAUUUGAUACUGCGUAGCUUGAGUGCUGGAGAGGUUACUAGAAUUCCUGGUGUAGUGGUGAAAUACGUAGAUAUCAGGAGGAAUACCGGAGGCGAAGGCGGGUAACUGGCCAAGCACUGACACUCAGACCCGAAAGCGUGGGGAUCAAACAGGAUUAGAUACCCUGGUAGUCCACGCCAUAAACGAUGGAUACUUGUUGUUGGAGGUAUUGACCCCUUCAGUGACGAAGCUAACGCGUUAAGUAUCCCGCCUGGGGAGUACGGUCGCAAGAUUAAAACUCAAAGAAAUUGACGGGGGCCCGCACAAGCGGUGGAGCAUGUGGUUUAAUUCGAUGCAACGCGAAGAACCUUACCUAGGCUUGACAUGUACUGGAAGAUUGGCGGAAACGCCGUCGCCCGCAAGGGUCGGUACACAGGUGCUGCAUGGCUGUCGUCAGCUCGUGUCGUGAGAUGUUGGGUUAAGUCCCGUAACGAGCGCAACCC
rnacentral:rRNA from 1 species